UGGCAGUCAACAUGUCUCUGUGCAUCUUGUCCAACGAAUUCAAGAUUUUACCGAGUUCCAUGGACACAGCUACCACAAAAGUGUGACGGCAAGCUACAAAAUAAUGCCAUUGUUGGAUGAAGUCUACCAUAUAUCCAUGCUACCCGUUAUCAAGGUAAUGUUCAAGGAUGACUUUCUCAACAGGGCUAGCUGCAGACAUGCUAUUGUCAGAUGAAGUCUACCUCUCCAAAAGUAGAUGCUUGAUUACAUGCUGCCCAGUGUCAGAUAAGACAUUGUAUCUCCAGCAACAGAAUAGCAACAAACAUGCCGUUGUCAGAUGAAGCCGACCUCUCAAAAAGUAGAUGCAUGAUGCAUAUGCUGCCAAGUGUCAAAGUACAACGAUGUCAUCCCCAGCAUCAGGCUAGCAACUAUCAUGCCAUUGUCAGAUGAAGUCUACCUCUUCAUCAAGAGCAGAUGCAUGAUGCGGAUGCUGCCAAGUGUCAAAAGUACAAAGACGUCUUCCCAAUCAACAGA